rnacentral:rRNA from 1 species
GCCAGAGACAUACCUCCCUGCAGUUAUCGGCUGGUUUCCCACUGAAGCUAAGCAGGGUUGAGACUAGCCAAUAGCUGGAUGGGAGACCUCCUGGGGGAAAACUCAAGUUGUUGAUGGAA